rnacentral:rRNA from 1 species
CAGUCGNCGANCCUUCGGGGUUAGUGGCGCACGGGUGCGUAACGCGUGGGAACCUGCCUUUAGGUUCGGAAUAACUCAGAGAAAUUUGAGCUAAUACCGGAUGAUGUCUUCGGACCAAAGAUUUAUCGCCUUUAGAUGGGCCCGCGUUAGAUUAGAUAGUUGGUGGGGUAAUGGCCUACCAAGUCGACGAUCUAUAGCUGGUCUGAGAGGAUGAUCAGCCACACUGGGACUGAGACACGGCCCAGACUCCUACGGGAGGCAGCAGUGGGGAAUAUUGGACAAUGGGCGAAAGCCUGAUCCAGCAAUGCCGCGUGAGUGAUGAAGGCCUUAGGGUUGUAAAGCUCUUUUACCAGGGAUGAUAAUGACAGUACCUGGAGAAUAAGCUCCGGCUAACUCCGUGCCAGCAGCCGCGGUAAUACGGAGGGAGCUAGCGUUGUUCGGAAUUACUGGGCGUAAAGCGCGCGUANGCGGCUUUUCAAGUCAGGGGUGAAAUCCCGGGGCUCAACCCCGGAACUGCCCUUGAAACUGGAUGGCUAGAAUACUGGAGAGGUGAGUGGAAU